ACAGCAGCAGCCGCGGUAAUACGAAGGGGGCUAGCGUUGUUCGGAAUUACUGGGCGUAAAGCGCACGUAGGCGGACAUUUAAGUCAGGGGUGAAAUCCCGGGGCUCAACCCCGGAACUGCCUUUGAUACUGGGUGUCUAGAGUAUGGAAGAGGUGAGUGGAAUUCCGAGUGUAGAGGUGAAAUUCGUAGAUAUUCGGAGGAACACCAGUGGCGAAGGCGGCUCACUGGUCCAUUACUGACGCUGAGGUGCGAAAGCGUGGGGAGCAAACAGGAUUAGAUACCCCCGUAGUCCCUGUCUCUUAUAC
rnacentral:rRNA from 1 species